rnacentral:rRNA from 1 species
CCCUUAGAUGUUCUGGGCUGCACGCGUGCUACAAUGGCGUUUCCAGCAAGUCUGCGAACCCGAGAGGGCCAGCGGAUCUUCGAAUUGGCGUCGUGAUCGGGACAGUCGAUUGCAAUUAUUUGACUCAAACGAGGAAUUCCUUGUAAUCGCGAUUCAUCAUAUCGCGCUGAAUACGUCCCUGCCCUUUGUACACACCGCCCGUCGCUCCUACCGAUUGAGCGAUCCGGUAGAUGUUUUGGAUUGGUGCCGGGGCGGCUAGCUGCCGGUCGCUACGAAAUUUUGUGAACCUUAUCGCUUAGAGGAAGGAAAAGUCGUAACA